rnacentral:tRNA from 1 species
GCUACGAUAGCAGAGUCGUUAAGGCGUUGGAAUUAAGAUCCCAUGGAUGUAAAUCCAUGUGGGUUCGAACCCCCCUCCUGGUA